AUUGAACGCUGGCGGCAUGCUUUACACAUGCAAGUCGAACGGUAACAGGCCGCAAGGUGCUGACGAGUGGCGGACGGGUGAGUAAUGCAUCGGAACGUGCCCAGUCGUGGGGGAUAGCUACUCGAAAGAGUAGCUAAUACCGCAUACGAUCUAUGGAUGAAAGCGGGGGACCGUAAGGCCUCGCGCGAUUGGAGCGGCCGAUGUCAGAUUAGGUAGUUGGUGGGGUAAAGGCUCACCAAGCCAACGAUCUGUAGCUGGUCUGAGAGGACGACCAGCCACACUGGGACUGAGACACGGCCCAGACUCCUACGGGAGGCAGCAGUGGGGAAUUUUGGACAAUGGGCGCAAGCCUGAUCCAGCAAUGCCGCGUGCAGGAAGAAGGCCUUCGGGUUGUAAACUGCUUUUGUACGGAACGAAACGGCUCUGGUUAAUACCCGGGGCUAAUGACGGUACCGUAAGAAUAAGCACCGGCUAACUACGUG
rnacentral:rRNA from 1 species